ensembl:misc_RNA Metazoa_SRP Metazoan signal recognition particle RNA
UCUGGGCUAUAACAAAGAAGAAGAUAAAUAAAGACUGAAAAAUACUGUACAAAGAGAGGACGUAGAGGAUCACUUGAGCCCAGGAGUGCUGAGCUGUAGUGGGCUGUGUUGAUCAGGUGUCUGCACCAAGUUGAGCAUCAGUAUGGUGAACUUCCAGGAACUAGAGACCACGAGGUUGCCUAAAGAGGGGUGAAUUGACUCAGGUUGGAAAUGGACCAGGUCAUAACUCCUGUACUGAUCACUACCAGUGGGAUUGUGCCUGUGAAUAGCCACUACUCUUCAGUUUGGGCAACAAAACAAGACCCCACCUUUU